CCUGGCUCUUAUAAAUGUGGCUCCAGGAGUUAGGUUUAGUCAAGCAGUCAUCACAGGAGCUUUUCCCAGAGCCUGAACAGUGACUUGUGGUAUCUUCAGCUUUCAUCAGAAGAGACAUGGGCUUCUUCAAAUUAUCUGCUGUCUUCUUGCUCUCACUCUUGCUGUGGGAGGUGCACAGUGACAGCAAGCCAAUUUUGUGUCCUCCGAACAGCUCUCCUGGAGCCGUUUCACCGUGUGCAAAGACCUGCGCCAACUUCUAUUAUCCUCCUCCAGAUGUUUGCCCUGGGAAGCCAAUUCAAUCCUGUAAAUGUCACGACGAAUUCCUGGCUCAGGUCGGGACUUCUGGGAAAACUGUAAAGUGCGUCAAAAAAGAAGACUGCACCUGUGGUCCCAACCAGCACUAUGACCCCUGCGAAUACAAUUGCCAACCAACAUGUGAAGAACCAAUAGUCCGAGCCUGUAUAAAAAUGUGUGUUCCAGGAUGUGUCUGUGAUAAGAAUUAUUUUCAAUCGGGAAAAAAGUGUAUAAAGCUAACAGAUUGUAAAAAAAAUUAACUCAACCCCACUAUUCUGCAGCCAGUAUUAGGCUCUGAGAAUCAAUGGAAUUAUAUAUGUUUAAAUGUGUAUAGCAGAUGAAGCAGAGCUGAACGUGCUACUAAGCUGCUAUUUCUUCCAUCCACUGUGAUACUGUAAAUGUUCCUGUAGUUCUAUGGAAGAUCCACAUCAUAGUAUCAUCAGCAGUUAGCAGGUUGAGCUCUGCUGGAUUCCUGAAGGCUCAUCCUCCAUCGUAUCGCUGCUUUGCUUCUGUAAACGCAAUAACUGGAUGCAUUAGAUCCCAGUAAGUGUGCGCAAUAAUGCCGCUAUAGCUCAUCUUUCCUGAUACAAUGUUACAAUAAAAGUCACCUUUAAGGAA